rnacentral:lncRNA from 1 species
UACUGCUGCAUCUUUCUGUGCAUUGCCUAGUGACUAAGAAGCAAUAUCAAAUAUACUUCUUCAGGAACAUCUGAAGUUCAUGGAAUUCUCAAAAGAAGCAAAAGCUGGAGCACACACGGCAAGCAAAAGUAUCUCACCCCUCUCUCCUUCUCUUUGGACAAAGUAUGGGUCCAACUCCACCAUCUUCCUUGACAAGAGAGGGCAAGUACCUCUAGGUGAGCUGCGAUCGAGACAAGCAAGCAAGUGGGAAUGCGUCUAUUAAUCAGCUAUCAAGUCUUUCCUGAGAUGUUUUUUUAUAAUAAUGCAAAAGCAUUUUGCUAAAUUCAAGUUGAGCUACGUGUCCUCAAGUCACACAAUCCAAUCAGAGAACAAAAUCUACUCAGCAAGUCAUUCUUAUGCAGGGGGACGGCAUGAAGGCCACAGCCUUCCACUCCUGUGUCCCUGAGAAGGAAUUGUGCCUGAGAAGAAGAUGGACUUGGGCAGCAGAUGAGGUUGGGUCAGAGCACCAACUCUUCUGGGAAGGGACAUUUUGUGAGGAAGUCCUCAGCCUUUUGAGACCCUGGGUUACGGAUGAUAGAGGAGAUCAAGGAAGACCUCGAAAGCUGUGUUACGAUCAAGUCCUGGAAUAAGAUGUCAUUCAUGUCCACAUCACCCACAGGUGAGUUCCCCUCAGAGGCACGCAGCUUGACUGUCAGAGGAUUUGAAGGCAGCUCAAGCAAGUAUUCCUUUCUGAGGAGUUGGUCCCUCUAUCCUGGUUUUAGGAGUGCUAAUUAUAG